CCUACUGGAGACAUCAUUGAGGCAUCUUGGUCAAUGGACGAGAGUCUGAACCAGCCAAGUAGCGUGAAGUCUUCCUUCCCUCUUUUUUUUCCCCUUCUUUUCUCCCUUCCUCCCCCUAUCCACUUUUGCCUUUUUGCAUGUACUUUAUUAAUAAUUCUCUUCUAACUCCGUGCCAUCCUCCGCGGUAAUACGUCGUCUCCUAUCGUUAUCCGGAUUUAUUGGGUUUAAAGUGCUCGUAGAGGGGUUGUUAAGUCAGUUGUGAAAGUUUGCGGCUCAACCGUAAAAUUGCAAUUGAUACUGGCAGUCUUGAGUACAGUUGAGGUAGGCGGAAUUAGUGGUGUAGCGGUGAAAUGCUUAGAGAUCACGAAGAACCCCGAUUGCGAAGGCAGCUUACUAAACUGUGAAUGACAUUGAUGCUCGAAAGUGUGGGUAUCAAACAGGAUUAGAGAGAAAAGUAGUC
rnacentral:rRNA from 1 species